GACGAACGCUGGCGGCGUGCCUAAUACAUGCAAGUAGAACGCACAGUUUAUACCGUAGCUUGCUACACCAUAGACUGUGAGUUGCGAACGGGUGAGUAACGCGUAGGUAACCUGCCUGGUAGCGGGGGAUAACUAUUGGAAACGAUAGCUAAUACCGCAUAAUAUUAAUUAUUGCAUGAUAAUUGAUUGAAAGAUGCAACUGCAUCACUACCAGAUGGACCUGCGUUGUAUUAGCUAGUAGGUGGGGUAACGGCUCACCUAGGCGACGAUACAUAGCCGACCUGAGAGGGUGAUCGGCCACACUGGGACUGAGACACGGCCCAGACUCCUACGGGAGGCAGCAGUAGGGAAUCUUCGGCAAUGGACGAAAGUCUGACCGAGCAACGCCGCGUGAGUGAAGAAGGUUUUCGGAUCGUAAAGCUCUGUUGUAAGAGAAGAACGGGUGUGAGAGUGGAAAGUUCACACUGUGACGGUAUCUUACCAGAAAGGGACGGCUAACUACGUG
rnacentral:rRNA from 1 species